rnacentral:rRNA from 1 species
GACGAACGCUGGCGGCGUGCCUAAUACAUGCAAGUAGAACGCUGAAGAGAGGAGCUUGCUCUUCUUGGAUGAGUUGCGAACGGGUGAGUAACGCGUAGGUAACCUGCCUUGUAGCGGGGGAUAACUAUUGGAAACGAUAGCUAAUACCGCAUAACAAUGGAUGACACAUGUCAUUUAUUUGAAAGGGGCAAUUGCUCCACUACAAGAUGGACCUGCGUUGUAUUAGCUAGUAGGUGAGGUAAUGGCUCACCUAGGCGACGAUACAUAGCCGACCUGAGAGGGUGAUCGGCCACACUGGGACUGAGACACGGCCCAGACUCCUACGGGAGGCAGCAGUAGGGAAUCUUCGGCAAUGGGGGCAACCCUGACCAAGCAACGCCGCGUGAGUGAAGAAGGUUUUCGGAUCGUAAAGUUCUGUUGUAAGUCAAGAACGGGUGUGAGAGUGGAAAGUUCACACUGUGACGGUAGCUUACCAGAAAGGGACGGCUAACUACGUG